ensembl:lncRNA
AUUCAACCCAUUGGGUAUAUUUUAAAAUAGGAAACGACAGUUAAUGUUAAUAUACCAAUACUUAAAAUAUGAUCCAAUUUAUCCUUUAAACUGUUUACAAAUAGGAUAAAACAUUCUAGAUAUCAAUCCAAAAAUGGUCAGAGGAGUAGAGAGUUUUACGAGAUUACUUUAGGGGGCACAGAAGCAAAAAAAAUUCUCAAGACAGCUACUCUAGGGUGGAAUUGCUGGAUCUUAAUGUAUUGAAGGUAUUAAUCUUUAUGGGAUAAAGUCAAGUUAUUUCACAGGAUGAUUGUACCAAUUUACACUCUCUCCAGAAAUCCAUUUUCUUUGCUAAUAGGUCACUUGAAUUUACUAAUGAGUUAGCUGAAUUUCCCAGGAGUAGGAAAACAUUUCUUUUUGCCAACUCUUCAGUGUUCAUGGAGCUCUGCUCCUUGGUUAAUGCCAAAGGCAAGAGCUUCAUCAAUUUUGACCUUCAUGUAUUCACCAAGUGUUUUUGCAACCCCCUAGCUUUGGUUUACACCGUUCCCUCCCCUGGGAUGCCCUCUCCAUCCACCUGCCACCAGUCUAUCACCUAUGCUUCCGGUCUGAUCUUAAAUGUCAUUUCUUCGGAAAGUCUUUCCACAACCAUGCUCCCUAAAGUUUCCUAAUUCUCCACCACAGAACCCUGUAGAGUUUAUACGAGUUAGGAAUGAUAUAUUUGCUUCUUUGCUCAUAUGUUAUCUAUCUCUUCCACUGGAUUGUAAGCCCCUUGAAGGCAAGAACUGUAUCUGUUUUAUUCACCUACCUAUGCCCUAUCAUUUAGUAUAGCUCCUGAUACAUAGCAAAAUCUCCAUAAAUAUCUACUAAAUAAACAAAUGAAUGAAUUUUUUUCAGACUGAAGCAGACAUCAUCCCUAAUCCAGUCAUUGGUGGCUUUGAGCAGGAUGUGGCAGGUGUUUCCACGAAUAAAAAAAUGGGCUCUGGUCCUGCUGUCACCACCCAGCACCCACCGAGUCUAUCCACAGCUUCUCUCACAGGCCAAGGGCCGCACCCCAGAUCUGGCCUGGCCUGGAAGGGUAAGUUUGUUCUCUUGCUUGAACUGGGACAUCCAUCUUCUCCUGUCCUCAGACAUCAGUGGUCCUGGUUCUCAGGCCUUUGGGUUUGAACCGGAACUUCCCCUUGGCUGUCCUGGGUCCCCACCUUGCAGAUAGCAAGUUGUAGGACUUGUGGCCGCCAUAACUGCAUGCGGCUUUCCCUCAUAAUGGAUCUUUUUCUUUUUUUUGAAAAAAAGUUUUUAUUUAUUUAUUCGAGAGAGCCAGCAUGAGUGGUGGGAGGGAUGGCGGGAGAGGGAGAAGCAGGCUUCCCUCUGAGCAGGGAGCCCAAUGUGGGACUCCAUCCCAGGACUCUGGGAUCAUCACCCGAGCCAAAGGCAGCUGCUUAACCACUGACUGAGCCCCCCCGAUGCCCCAAUCUUUGUCUGUGUUUAUGCCCUAUUACUCCUGUGUCUCUGGAGAACCCUAAGACAAGGACCAAGUAUUUCAGAAUCUGCCAGAUUUAGGUGUGCUUUCCCACACAGAUCCAGACUUUAUUUUGAUUUUUUAAAAAUUAUAAUUAGAUAGGAGUUAAGGGACACAAAAAGGCAGAUACUAGCCAGAAGGUUUCACCGUCUCUUUAUUUCUUGAAAUAAGAGCACCAAGAACCCUGGGUAUAACCUGCUCUCCUGCUCUCUGCUGGCAGGGAUCCAUAUGGUCUAGGGUUCAGAACUGGUUCUGCUCCCAUGGUCUCUGGGGACAGAGGAGAGAGGGGCUCUCCUCAUCUGCCCCUGAGCCACUAUAUGCACAAGCAGGAGAUCACUGUAAAGAAGCCAAAGUGUUUUUGAUGUGGGAAGGGGCUAGGAGAUGUCCUGGCCUCUUCUCUGCUUUCUUCAGAGACUGUGGGCUGAAUGGUGGUAUCUAUAACGAUUCCCUCAUCUCACAGGGAGCACUGAGACAGGGGUUAUUUCCCCAUAUUCUAUAAUAG